CACACUCACUAGCAGAGACACACUCACAGACACACACACUCACAGACACACUCACACACACUAACAGACAGACACACACACACACUAACAGACACACACACACUCACUAACAGACACACACACUCAUUAACACUCACACACACACUCUAACUAACAGACACACACACUCACUAAUAGACACACACACACUCACUAAUAGACACACACACACUCACACUCACUAACAACAGACACACACACUAACAGACACACACACACUCACUAAUAGACACACUCACAUUAACACA